GAGACACGACCGCCACUUCCUGCUCAUUCACUCGCCAACCAUGAGGACCUUCGCAGCUCUCGCGCUCUUGGCUCAGGUGUGCCAGCUCGCCCUGGCCAUCGAAUCCGCUCCUUAUGACCUAGUUAACUCCGCUGAGACGUACGAGGAGCGCGUGUACCCGGCGCAG